AGCCCGGACAGGGAGAAGUUCCUGGUCCUGGGCUCCACCUGCAGCCUGUGCAGCCUCUGUGUCUGUGCUGGGUCGGACUGCAGUCUCUUCUACACCAAGAGGUUCUGCAUGCAGUGUGUGAACAAACACCUGGACCAGUUCCCUCAUCAGAUCCAGUCCGAGCUGGCCAAGAAGAAGCAGAGCUCCAAGGCUGCCGUGUCAUGAAGUCGGGCGAGAUGUCCGUAAUUUGCUCAGGUGUCUCGGACUAAUAGCUUUUGUCAUGAAGUGUUUUUAAUAAGCACGUUUUGAUUAAAGCCACACUGGGUGAAACUAUAAAUACACAAAGCUGUACAACAAAACAUCCUGUUCUGAAUCCACCUCGCUCUCGGUUUUGAUCACUGAUUGGAAACACACUUCCAUCAGAAAAAAGUACAAAUCUAUCCUUGUGGCCAGGAUGUUAACCUGCUGCAUUAUAGUCAGCCAGGUUUUAUUUGUUUAUUGCAGAGUUUUAUAGAAGUAAACUGCAGGUGUGAGGAGAGCUGCCAGACCUCUGUUGGAUUGUGUUUGCAGGCUCACAAUCAAACCUCCCAAUUAAAAAUGGCUGCCAGUUUAAAAUCUGAACUUUCCCCAAAUUUCAUAUCCAUAAUGGUCAGCUCAACCCACAGCAGCUAUUCUAGUCUCUCUGUAAAUAGUUUCGACAAUAUUACAGCCAUGAGCGAAUGAGUGAAAAGAGCAAUGUGGAAGCAAUAGUUCAGUUGCAAGUCACACUCAGGACUAGAUUUAUGUUUCCACUGCCGUCAAAGUGGAAAAAAAUAAUAAAUGUUAUUCAAUUUUUUAA